rfam:Salmo salar isolate Sally breed double haploid chromosome ssa25, whole genome shotgun sequence.
UGCAUUCACUACUGUAAGUCACUCUGGAUAAGAGCGUCUGCUAAAUGACAAUGU